UGAAAGGUUCUAUUUUUAAGUAUGAUUAAUAGGGAAUUCGGUGUAAAUCCGAUACUGUACCCGCAGCUGUAAUCUCUUUAACUUUUGAUUAUUAUGCCACUGUUAACAUGGGAAGGCAAUCAAAAGAGAGUAAGUCAGAAGACCUACCUUUCAAAAA
rnacentral:ncRNA from 1 species